rnacentral:tRNA from 1 species
AUAGCUCAGUGGUAGAGCACGUGCUUAGCAUGCACAAGGUCCUGGGUUCAAUCCCCAAU